GACGAACGCUGGCGGCGUGCCUAAUACAUGCAAGUAGAACGCACAGUUUAUACCGUAGCUUGCUACACCAUAGACUGUGAGUUGCGAACGGGUGAGUAACGCGUAGGUAACCUGCCUGGUAGCGGGGGAUAACUAUUGGAAACGAUAGCUAAUACCGCAUAAUAUUGAUUAUUGCAUGAUAAUUGAUUGAAAGAUGCUAUUGCAUCACUACCAGAUGGACCUGCGUUGUAUUAGCUAGUAGGUGAGGUAACGGCUCACCUAGGCGACGAGACAUAGCCGACCUGGGAGGGUGAUCGGCCACACUGGGACUGAGACACGGCCCAGACUCCUACGGGAGGCAGCAGUAGGGAAUCUUCGGCAAUGGACGAAAGUCUGACCGAGCAACGCCGCGUGAGUGAAGAAGGUUUUCGGAUCGUAAAGCUCUGUUGUAAGAGAAGAACGGGUGUGAGAGUGGAAAGUUCACACUGGGACGGUAUCUUACCAGAAAGGGACGGCUAACUACGU
rnacentral:rRNA from 1 species